rnacentral:misc_RNA from 1 species
GAAAUGCGAUAAGUAGUGUGAAUUGCAGAAUUCAGUGAAUCAUCGAAUCUUUGAACGCACAUUGCGCCCUUUGGUAUUCCAAAGGGCAUGCCUGUUCGAGCGUCAUUUGUACCCUCAAGCUUUGCUUGGUGUUGGGCGUCUUGUCUCUAGCUUUGCUGGAGACUCGCCUUAAAGUAAUUGGCAGCCGGCCUACUGGUUUCGGAGCGCAGCACAAGUCGCACUCUCUAUCAGCAAAGGUCUAGCAUCCAUUAAGGCUUUUUUCAACUUUUGACCUCGGAUCAGGUAGGGAUACCCGCUGAACUUAAGC